UGCAGUCGAGCGGACGACGGGAGCUUGCUCCCUUAGGUCAGCGGCGGACGGGUGAGUAACACGUGGGUAACCUGCCUGUAAGACUGGGAUAACUCCGGGAAACCGGGGCUAAUACCGGAUGCUUGAUUGAACCGCAUGGUUCAAUUCAUAAAGGGGGGUUUUAGGCUCCACUUUACAGAGGACCCCGCGCGGCAUAACCUAGUGGGGGGGGAACGGGUCCACAAGGCCGACGAUCCUUACC
rnacentral:rRNA from 1 species